GGGAGAUAAGGCGUCACUUCGACAGUUUCGUGAUAGUAAAAUAGCUGAAGUUGCAGUAUGGGAACAUGAGGAGUGGCAAAGGCAUCUCAUCAUAAAAGAUAUUGCCGAGCAUGUUUUGUCUAGGCAUCUUUCCAUUCCCAAACAAAAAGUUGUUCCUAUUGUGGAUCAACUUGAUUUUUGUCUUCUCCACAGGGAUGUAGAUCCUAUAU
rnacentral:misc_RNA from 1 species